rnacentral:rRNA from 1 species
GGGGGGGGGGGGGGGGGGGGGGGGGGGGGGGGGGGGGGGGGGGGGGGGGGGGCGGGCGGGGGAGGCGGGUGGCGGGCGGGGGGGUAUCACGUGGGGGGUCUGCCCUGCACUUCGGGCUAGGCCGUGGACACGGGGUCUCAUCCCGGCUGGGAGCCGUUCGUAUUGUUGUGGUUGGAACGUUUUUUCCGUGUGGGGUGGGCUCGCGGCCUAUCCGCUUGUUGGUGUGGUCAUGGCCUCCCAAGGCGGGGGCGGGUAGCCGGCCUGAGAGGGUGGACGGGCACAUUGGGACUGAGGUACGGCCCAGGCUCCUACGGGGGGCAGCAGUGGGGAAUAUUGCACAAUGGGCGCAAGCCUGAUGCAGCGACGCCGCGUGGGGGAGGACGGCCUUCGGGUUGUAAACGCCUUUCGCUAGGGACGAAGCUUUUUGUGACGGUACCUAGAUAAGAAGCACCGGCUAACUACGUG